GUUGAAAAGAACUUUGAAGAGAGAGUUCAAGAGUACGUGAAACCGUUCAGGGGUAAACCUGAGAAACCCAAAAGAUCGAAUGGGGAGAUUCAGCGUUCAACGGCCCGUCUGGCUUGCGUGCGACGUCACGAUGUCGCGGUGUUAUGCGCCCUCGCCGGUGUGUAUAUACCGUGACACGUCGUCGCUGCGUCAUGACCGGCGCCGUCGGCGUGCACUUCUCCCCUAGUAGAACGUUGCGACCCGUUGUGCGUCGGCCAAAGGCUCGAAGGGUAGACUAUCGCGCUCUCUCCCCGGAGGGCGCGGCAGACCCUCGAAAGCCCGGCCCGACUGCUCGACGGUAUUCGAAUAUCACAAGGUGUGUAAUCGAGAGCCGCAUUUGAAUGCGUUCGGCGCGUCGGUCGGCUUCGGCUCGCUCGGUUAUUUUACGGACCUGGAUGCCGUUACUGGGCGCUUGCCGAGGCUUUUUGUACCGACGACGAUCUCGAACCGGCUCUGCGCGCGCGAAAGCGUUCGCGCUCUCGCGCGCUCACCUGUCGGCGACGCUUUUGCUUUGGGUACUUUC
rnacentral:rRNA from 1 species